rnacentral:rRNA from 1 species
CCUACGGGUGGCAGCAGUGAGGAAUAUUGGUCAAUGGACGAGAGUCUGAACCAGCCAAGUAGCGUGAAGGAUGACUGCCCUAUGGGUUGUAAACUUCUUUUAUAUGGGAAUAAAAUGUUCCACGUGUGGGAUUUUGUAUGUACCAUAUGAAUAAGGAUCGGCUAACUCCGUGCCAGCAGCCGCGGUAAUACGGAGGAUCCGAGCGUUAUCCGGAUUUAUUGGGUUUAAAGGGAGCGUAGGUGGAUUGUUAAGUCAGUUGUGAAAGUGUGCGGCUCAACCGUAAAAUUGUAGUUGAAACUGGCAGUCUUGAGUACAGUAGAGGUGGGCGGAAUUCGUGGUGUAGCGGUGAAAUGCUUAGAGAUCACGAAGAACUCCGAUUGCGAAGGCAGUUCACUGGACUGCAACUGACACUGAGGCUCGAAAGUGUGGGUAUCAAACAGGAUUAGAUACCCCUGUAGUC